CACAGAGUUAGCCGGUGCUUAUUCUGUCGGUAACGUCAAAACAGCAAGGUAUUAACUUACUGCCCUUCCUCCCAACUUAAAGUGCUUUACAAUCCGAAGACCUUCUUCACACACGCGGCAUGGCUGGAUCAGGCUUUCGCCCAUUGUCCAAUAUUCCCCA
rnacentral:rRNA from 1 species